rnacentral:rRNA from 1 species
GAUCCUGGCUCAGGAUGAACGCUGGCGGCGUGCCUAACACAUGCAAGUCGAACGGAGAUGCGAUGUGAGCGAGAGGUGCUUGCACUGAUUAAUCUUUUCGUAUCUUAGUGGCGGACGGGUGAGUAACGCGUGGGUAACCUGCCUUAUACCGGGGGAUAACACUUAGAAAUAGGUGCUAAUACCGCAUAAGCGCACGGUGUCGCAUGACACAGUGUGAAAAACUCCGGUGGUAUAAGAUGGACCCGCGUCUGAUUAGCCAGUUGGCGGGGUAACGGCCCACCAAAGCGACGAUCAGUAGCCGGCCUGAGAGGGUGAACGGCCACAUUGGGACUGAGACACGGCCCAGACUCCUACGGGAGGCAGCAGUGGGGAAUAUUGGGCAAUGGGCGCAAGCCUGACCCAGCAACGCCGCGUGAAGGAAGAAGGCUUUCGGGUUGUAAACUUCUUUUGUCGGGGACGAAACAAAUGACGGUACCCGACGAAUAAGCCACGGCUAACUACGUG